AUGGCGGGCAUAUGCCCGGUGGCCUGAAGCCUUUUAUUUAUUUUUUUAUUCAUGCCAAACUCGCGUCUAACGUAGCAGGCCACGUUAACUUCAAUGCAGGCCACAUUAACGUCAAUUCAAGUUAAUGCAAGUUAAACUGGCAGAUCUGCCCUUUAUCAUGAUUGAUUGAAGCCUGGGCCAAUGAGGUGAGGGGCAGGCCAAUUACGCCUACCCCUCCAUCUCAGCCUCCGUUGGUGACUUGGUUGGUUAGCCACUGCUAGCAGGCGGAUCGAAAACGGGCAAUAUGGACCCUAGUGGGAAGAAAAGAAAGGGUGGCGCUGAAAGAGCCAGGGACCAGAAAAAAGCAGCCCUUCAGGCAGAUGCUACGAAAUGCCUAAAAAUAGCUGAUAUGUUUGCUGCUCGUGGUGUGAUUUGUUAAGUUAAGUGAUUUAUUUUAUUUUGUACAGUUAAGUAAUUAUUGACUCAUUGUAAAUAUAAGUGUUUAACUUCAAUUGUUAUGUGUGUCAUCACUUUUUAUUUUAUAUUCAAAAUUAAAUGGAUGAAAAUCC